AUCCGGAGGUCCACAUCGAAUUCGUCAGAAGAAGAACCACCGUAUGAAAAAGAGCUGUUACACAGUAGGAAACUAGCUAGGAACUCACUCUGAUCCGUUUAUCUUAAUUCCUAAAAAAAACAAAAACAUUGUGCUUUUUUUGCUUAUUUAUUACUGUAGAUUUCAUUUCAUCUUCAUAAUAAAAUUAUGAGUGAAUCAAGUAAGGAUACCAAUAAAGAUCAUCAGCCACCACCGCCGGAGUACGGUACUUUCUAUCCUCCACCGCCGGUGGUCACCGGAUUUCCUCAGCCUGUUCCACCUCCCGGUCUUUCCGGCGAACCUCCAGUCGACGCUUAUGUUCAUGGCUAUCAGUCUGUUCCAGGCUAUACUGUUGCUAAAGGAAGACCUUUGAUAGAACGUCGCCUUCCUUGCUGCGGAAUUGGUAUUGGAUGGUUCUUGUUCAUCACCGGUUUCUUCUUUGCUGCAAUCCCAUGGUAUCUGGGAGCAUUCAUUCUACUAUGUGCUCAGCAUGACCAACGUGAGAAACCUGGAUAUGUUGCAUGCGUAAUCUCUGCUAUUCUUGGAACAAUUGCGGUGGCAUUUGGUGUUACAAAUGCCUGAUUGACAGUUCACAAUAUUUGAAGUCAGUUGUACAGAACUGAGAAGUCGACUGAUGCAUAUAUAAAAAUAAUCAAGUGAAAGGAAACGUUCAAAAGCAUCAUUAAUUUGAAGCUCUCGUAUCCAAAGAUGAUAGAUGUGUGGUGCCAGCAAAUAUGGUUUGUGGUCUGCAUGAUGUGGAGUCGAAACUCGAAAGCUGCUUGAAUACAGUUAUAUGCUUAUUGUACAAUAAUAAAUAGCUUAUAGAAAAGAGGUUUGUGAAUAAAUUGUUUGCGAGAUUCGCAGCUGUAAGGCUCUGAUUACAGAUGAAUAACUUUACCAGGUGGCUUGGAGACUUGACGCAAGUCACCAAUCUUGAGUUUAAAUGAGUCGAAGACUAAGCAAAACUAGAUAAUAAUUGGGUUGUGUCGAUUUCCUGAAGAUGUCUUUCCACACAUAUAUAGAUAUCCCAGGUUAUGUUUCUAUAAAUUGAGUUCACUGUGAUUCCCUAA